ensembl:snRNA U1 U1 spliceosomal RNA
CCACUUACCUGGCAGGGGAGAGACCGUGGUCACGAAGGGGGUUCUCCCAGAGUGAAGCUUCAUCGCGCUCUCGAGUUGCUGAUCCCUGUGAUUUCCUCAAUGUGGGAAACGGUGUUUGUGCUGGAAGAGGGCUGCGCUCUUU